GCAUUGUAAACAAAAGUCAGUGUUUCUUGCAGAAGGAAUGCCAUCUCAACAGUCUUUCAUUUGAAUCUCCAGGAUGUUGUGUGAAGUCCUGCUCUCAUCACUAUGGUUCCUUUUUGUCAUUUUCUGGGUCGAGACGAUAAGUGUGUGGCUGUUUCUCUCCAUGUUCUACCAAGACCGGGCAUUUUACCACUGGGGAGACGGGGUAUUUACAGAUGAUACUGGACAGAUGAUAUACAUGUUGAGCAGAGUUGAUACUCCUAUACAGAGAGAGACGCAGACCUGAGACAGAAGAAGAUCAAGAACUCAGCUGAAAGGACUCUGAAUAGACGACUGUUGCAGUUAUGUGACUCGAGAUGGAAAGCAGUAGCUGUGUUUCCUUUGCACUGACUGGCUCGCACACUGAUGUGCACAGUCCUUUUUAACAUAGGUAAAUAUAGUAAGUCCACUUUUAGUAAUAAGUGGUGGAGAGUUGCAGCAUGAACACAGAAGGAGGUCCUCGAUGAAUUAAGUGUAUAACACCCACUGUUGCAUUUUUAUUUUCACUUUCACAUUUUGGGGGAAGCUAAAUGAGUGAAGCAGCAGGUGCUUUGGGAUGCAAUGGCUGAUUUCAGUGCAUUUCACUUUUAUUUGUUGUGUUGAGACUUGCACUGAGAUGGUGUUAUGAUCAUAUUGCUCUUCUAUGCAAGUAACGUCAAUGCUAUCUGCAGCUGUAUUUGUGUUUUAAAAUGUCAGAUUUCAGUAAGUCUGUUAUCAGCUAGGCACAUGAAUAUUAUGAACAAUGAUCAGAUAUGUUGGUGAAUGUUUGACGUCACAAUCUUUAACAGGAGAACAUUUGAAUGUUGGAUGUGGUGGAAGUUUGGACCCUGGAUAGAUAAUCAUGGAUUUACGAUGUGGUCUACAGGUUUACAAGACUUUUCAAAAAAUAACCAUCAAACACAGUAGAUCAACUCUAAAGAGGAUCAACAUGCAGUAACAGUUUUAUUUUGCGUCUAAAAUACGAAAGUAAAAUUGAAGAGAAUGUACUCCAUGAUAGGACUACUCUCUCAAAACAUCUGUUCUACCCAGUAAAUUCAAUAAAUACAUUUUAUUUUCAAGCCUUUGAGAUUAAUGAUAUGUCCAGAAAUGGUUGUCAUCCUCUUUGCUUUCUGUCUUUUAAGUGAUUUACUUUUAAACAAGAUCAAUGUCAAAUUUUGCUUUCACUUUGUAUCUGAGGCAAUGUUGCUUUGUAUGAAUGUACUGAAUAAAUUCAGGUAUU